GAUGAACGCUGGCGGCGUGCCUAAUACAUGCAAGUCGAGCGAACGGACGAGAAGCUUGCUUCUCUGAUGUUAGCGGCGGACGGGUGAGUAACACGUGGAUAACCUACCUAUAAGACUGGGAUAACUUCGGGAAACCGGAGCUAAUACCGGAUAAUAUUUUGAACCGCAUGGUUCAAAAGUGAAAGACGGUCUUGCUGUCACUUAUAGAUGGAUCCGCGCUGCAUUAGCUAGUUGGUAAGGUAACGGCUUACCAAGGCAACGAUGCAUAGCCGACCUGAGAGGGUGAUCGGCCACACUGGAACUGAAACACGGUCCAGACUCCUACGGGAGGCAGCAGUAGGGAAGCUUCCGCAAUGGACGAAAGCCUGACGGAGCAACGUCGCGUGAGUGAUGAAGGUCUUCGGAUCGUAAAACUCUGUUAUUAGGGAAGAACAUAUGUGUAAGUAACUGUGCACAUCUUGACGGUACCUAAUCAGAAAGCCACGGCUAACUACGUG
rnacentral:rRNA from 1 species